rnacentral:rRNA from 1 species
UGCCAGCCGCCGCGGUAAUACGAAGGGGGCUAGCGUUGUUCGGAAUUACUGGGCGUAAAGCGCACGUAGGCGGAUUAGUAAGUUAGGGGUGAAAUCCCGGGGCUCAACCCCGGAACUGCCUCUAAUACUGCUAGUCUUGAGUUCGAGAGAGGUGAGUGGAAUUCCGAGUGUAGAGGUGAAAUUCGUAGAUAUUCGGAGGAACACCAGUGGCGAAGGCGGCUCACUGGCUCGAUACUGACGCUGAGACGCGAAGGCCGGGGGAGCAAACAGGAUUAGAUG